CUGCUUUCAGCCUCCACAUUGUGCAUGUGUCAAAGGACAGACAAUAAAUUCUGCCAGCAAGCACACAGCUCUCCAAGUCCCAGCUGGGCAUCUCCAUCCUCCCAGCCCAUGCAGAGCAGCACACAGGCACAGGCUUGGGAGCAGGGCAGCUCAACCACUGGGAACCAGCCUGGGAGAUCAGGUCAUUUUCAAAGGAAGCCCGUGGAAUAAUUCAGCUCUGUCCCAUGCAGCAUCUGGAAAGAUGACUGAGAAGGACAAAAUUCUAAGCUCCCAGGCCUAGACAGGAACCUCAGCCAGGUACAUUGGCA